UGCAGCCUCCUCGCGCCUGCGACCGGCGGGCGAGGGAGGAAGCGGCCAGCUGAAGGCGGCGAGGCCGCGGCUUUUAAACGGCAUAAUAACAAGAAGUACUGUAACCCGUUUUCCUCGACGAGCGUCCGAGCGGAGAAGCCCGUUCAGUCCGCGACUCGGCGAUCGACCGUUCACACUUCGGAGUUUACGGAUCGGGCCCCCAAGGAUGAACCAGGACGCCGGCGCCUCUCCGGGAGCGGGCUGGCGGCAGCGAGCGGGGGGCCGGGGAGAGGACGCGGCGGCGCCGGCGGCUGGACGCCGGCCCUCGAGCGCGUGGGCUUUUUGGCACUGAAAGGGAAAGGGAGGUGAUCGGCAGGGGCUGCGACGCUCUCGCUGCGCGUCUCCGGGUGCCCCUUCCGACGGGCUGAGCUCGCCGGGGGCACCGACGCUCGGCCCGCUUCCAAACGCCAAGGACGGACUUCAAGGCGGGGGAAACGGAUUUAAAUCCGAACUCGGGGCAAGGGACCGCAGCUCUUUGGAGCAAGCUCAGGAACUGGUUCAUCCUUGGACCUUUCCUUACCAGAGAUCAAAUAGCGUUAUCAGUUAAGUCUUUUUCUUUAAAAGAAGCUAAUAUACAGAAUAUAAAGCACAAUAUUUACAACAGUACGGUAAACAGGUUCAUUUCCACACUGAUCAGUAGUCUGUUUUCAUGUGUAUAAAACAAAUUCUUACAUGACCUAAGAAGAACGGACAGGAAGUGACGUGGCGUGGGAGAAGAUGAAUCGAUAUCCUCCAUUUAAACACUUUAAAUAAUAAAUAACCUUUUUUUUUUUUUUUUUUUUGGCAGAACCGAGCUA